rnacentral:lncRNA from 1 species
AUGAUGAGGUCAUACUGGAUUAGGUUGGAUCCCAAAUCCAAUAUGACUGGCAUCCCUAUAAAACAGGGAAAUUUGGAGAAAGAUGCACACAGGAGAGAGACACGUGAAGAUGAAGUCAGAGAUGGGGUGACAUUCCUUCAAGAGAAGAAAUGCCAAAGACUGUCAGCAAACCACCAGAAGCUAGAGGAGUGGCAUGGCACAGAUUGCCGCUCACAGUCCACAGAAGGAACAACCCUGCUCACACCUCAAUUUCAGACUCCGAACCUCUGGAACUGGAAGAUGAUAUGGUUCUGCCAUUUAGGCCACUUAGUUUGUACUGCUUGUUGCGGCAGCCCUAGCGAACUAAUAUACUAUCUGACACAUUUUGUUUCUUUCUAGUUCCCUGAAGAAAGAAUAUAUUCAUUUAUCAAUUCAACAGGUGUCUAUUAAAGUGAAAGUCUCUCAGUUGUGUCUAACUCUUUGCAACCCUAUGGCCUAUUCAGUCCAUGGGAUUCUCUAGCCCAGAAUACCGGAGUGGGUGGCCUUUCCCUUCUCCAGGGGAUCUUCCCAANNNNNNNNNNNNNNNNNNNNNNNNNNNNNNNNNNNNNNNNNNUUUACCAGCUGAGCCACCAGGGAAGCCCAAGAAUACUGGAGUGGGUAGUAGCCUAUCCUUUUCCAGGGGAACUUUCCAACCCAGGAAUUGAACCAGGGUCUCCUGCCAUUGGAGGUGGAUUCCUGAGCUAUCAGGAAAGCCUUGAUUAAAAGCUCUACUGACUGGAAAAUGAAAAAAACACAGGUUCCUGAUCUUUAGGAAUUAACAACCUACGAGUCAAGCCACAGGUAAACAAUAAUUGAUGUAAAGUAGACUGGGAUGAGUAUUCCUGAUGUACGAAAGCAAAGAACGCUUCACUCCCAUGGUUUUGGAUGGCUUAUCCCUUACACCUAGACAUCUCUUUUAGAAAAAUUCUGUUUUCCCACAGGGCAGUUAUCUCUUUUCCUAGGCCUAACGUCUAUUUCCCUUCUCCCAUCUUCAGCACACACUGACACUGAAGUCAGUCCACUGCCAUUAUGAUAAUCCUUUCCUCGCAGAGUAAACAGACAGAAGGCACUCCC